rnacentral:rRNA from 1 species
AACGAACGCUGGCGGCAUGCCUAACACAUGCAAGUCGAACGAGACCUUCGGGUCUAGUGGCGCACGGGUGCGUAACGCGUGGGAACCUGCCCUUAGGUUCGGAAUAACUCCCCGAAAGGGGUGCUAAUACCGGAUAAUGUCUUCGGACCAAAGAUUUAUCGCCUUUGGAUGGGCCCGCGUUGGAUUAGCUAGUUGGUAGGGUAAAAGCCUACCAAGGCGACGAUCCAUAGUUGGUCUGAGAGGAUGAUCAGCCACACUGGGACUGAGACACGGCCCAGACUCCUACGGGAAGCAGCAGUGGGGAAUAUUGGACAAUGGGCGAAAGCCUGAUCCAGCAAUGCCGCGUGAGUGAUGAAGGCCUUAGGGUUGUAAAGCUCUUUUACCCGGGAUGAUAAUGACAGUACCGGGAGAAUAAGCUCCGGCUAACUCCGUG